UAAACUCAAUAGUGACCAAGCAAGUAGUUAGCUACCUAACGUUAGUUUAAGAGUUAAGCAAACACAAGUUAGCUAGCUAACCAACUCAGUUGAGAACAUUUACAAUUCAUACAGCAUAUAUCUUCGCUGAGAAAUGACAAAGCAAGCUAACGUUUUGUAUCCUAAGGAAAGUCCGAACCCACCUGAAAGUCAGCAAGAAUCAUUUCUCUGUCCAUGCUAUCGGAGGCCAUCGCAGUGACUGCUUAAACGCGAUUCUUCGUCUAGCUAUCGCUUGCUUUCUCGCCUCACUCACUCAAGCAAAUGGUGAGUACGAUAUCAUGUAAAUAUCUUCUUAAGUAAACUCAAUACAUAUAUAUAUAUGCGGUCGCUAUGUUAGUUGCAAAUGCCGCACUUUGGGUUGGGUUUUACGACUUAAAUGAAUUUCAAUUCUCUGUUAUCGUCACUUUUUUUCUGGUUGGUAUUCACGGCUUUGUCUUCUCUUUACGGCAAUCACAAAGUAGGAUAACGUAAUAGAGAUUGAUAGAGGACUCAUCUUUAUAUCUGUGCCAUAGAGCUCGCCAACUUGUAGUCCUAAAACCCAGAAAAUAGUUAGCUCUGGUUGUUUCAGCUAUCGCUAUAUGGAAAAUCAAUAGGGAAAGAAUAUGAUUUUGCAAUAAACGCAGAAAAUAAGGUAUUUAUUUAAACACAGGCUUAGGAGAUCUUAUACGUUUUGUUCUAUGAUAUAAUAGUAGCCAGUUUACAUGACCAUGAAUUAUGAAGCCUAGUGCUUUUUUUUAAAAUAACAUACAUUCUUCAAAAUUAACAAAAACUGAUGUUAGCUGAUUAACAUUAUCUCAUAGAACAAAACAUAUAAGAUCUCAUAAGCCAGUGUUUAGGCUACCACAGACCUUAUUUUCAGUGUUUAUCCAAAAACCCUACGCCAUUCAUUUUCUCAAUAGGGAUUGUUCAAUGAACCAUAGUGGUGUUAGUGCCUACAAAAAGACGCCAUUACUAUUUCUCUAUUAUAUACGGGUUGGAUGUUUAGCAACACAACCGACUUGUGAGCAACUAUGGGGAAAAACAGACAGAGUUGGCUUAGAUUAUUAUUAUGUUAUUGACUGUACCUUUGUUUAUUCCAUGUGUAACUGUGUUGUUGUUUGUGUUGCACUGCUUUGCUUUAUCUUGGCCAGGUCGCAGUUGUAAAUGAGAACAUGUUCUAAACUGGCCAACCUGGUUAAAUAAAAAAAUACUUUAAAAAUAUAUAUAUUGUUGACAACAUGUAAAUUAUAUUUUGUCUCCAAUGUUUAUUGAGAACAUAAAUACAUGUACACAAUGAGCGUUUAUCUCUCAAAUACAUCAUUACAGUUGUUGGUUAACUAGCUAGCGAAUUUGAGACAUAUUAGCAUUGACAUGAAAUCAGCCAAAACACCUCAAAACAAGACAUGGUAUCAAGAACAACUAACUCCAACGAGUCACUUAUGAUUCCCCACAUGGCAGUUUCUUGUAAUUGUUGGUAGCCACCUGGCCAUCCAGAAUCACAACAACUCCCCAUUGAAGCGUGCACAUCCUUUUUGUGACGUUGUCAGCUAACCCAUCUAUAGUGUCUGUGACAGCAUGGGCACAGUGCCAUUUAGGCUACAAUCCAUUGGAAUCCCCACCAAAUUGACUGGGCCUACUUUGACUACUUUAAAAUGGUGAAAGCAAUAGUGGAAGUCCUCAAAGGCAUGUUGAGAACAAGUUCUCAUUUACAAUUGCGACCUGGCCAAGAUAAAGCAAAGCAGUUCGACACAUACAACGACACGGAGUUACACAUGGAGUAAAACAAACAUACAGUUAAUAAUACAGUAUAAACAAGUCUAUAUACGAUGUGAGCAAAUGAGGUGAGAUAAGGGAGGUAAAGGCAAAAAAGGCCAUGGUGGCAAAGUAAAUACAAUAUAGCAAGUAAAACACUGGAAUGGUAGAUUUGCAAUGGAAGAAUGUGCAAAGUAGAAAUACAAAUAAUGGGGUGCAAAGGAGCUAAAUAAAUUAAAUACAGUAGGGAAAGAGGUAGUUGUUUGGGCUAAAUUGUAGGUGGGCUAUGUACAGGUGCAGUAAUCUGUGAGCUGCUCUGACAGUUGGUGCUUAAAGCUAGUGAGGGAGAUAAGUGUUUCCAGUUUCAGAGAUCUUUGUAGUUCGUUCCAGUCAUUGGCAGCAGAGAACUGGAAGGAGAGGUGGCCAAAGAAAUAAUUGGUCCUGGGGGUGACCAGAGAGAUAUACCUGCUGGAGCGUGUGCUACAGGUGGGUGAUGCUAUGGUGACCAGCGAGCUGAGAUAAGGGGGAUUCCUGUACCCAAUAAAGCAAAGGUCCACAGAUGAUGCAAUCUCAACCACACUGCACACUGCCCUAAUCCAUCUGGACAAGAGGAAUACCUAUGUGAGAAUGCUGUUCAUCGACGACAGCUCAGCAUUUAACACCAUAGUACCCUCCAAACUCGUCAUCAAGCUCGAGACCCUGGGUCUCGACCCCGCCCUGUGCAACUGGGUACUGGACUUCCUGACUGGCCGCCCCCAGGUGGUGAGGGUAGAUAACAACAUUUCCAGCCAUCAGACAUUUAACAGCCAUCAGACUGUUAAACAGCCACCACUAACAUUGAGUGGCUGCUGCCAACACACUGACUCAACUCCAGCCACUUUAAUAAUGGGAAUUGAUGGGAAUUGAUGUAAAAUAUAUCACUAGCCACUUUAAACAAUGCUACUUAAUAUAAUGUUUACAUACCCUACAUUAUUAAUCUCAUAUGUAUACGUAUAUACUGUACUCUAUAUCAUCUACUGCAUCUUUAUGUAAUAAAUGUAUCACUAGCCACUUUAAACUAUGCCACUUUGUUUACAUACUCAUCUCAUAUGUAUAUACUGUACUCAAUACCAUCUACUGCAUCUUGCCUAUGCUGCUCUGUACCAUCACUCAUUCAUAUAUCUUUAUGUACAUAUUCUUUAUCCCUUUACACUUGUGUGUAUAAGGUCGUAGUUUUGGAAUUGUUAGUCAGAUUACUCGUUAGUUAUUACUGCAUUGUCGGAACUAGAAGCACAAGCAUUUCGCUACACUCGCAUUAACAUCUGCUUACCCUGUGUAUGUGACAAAUACAUUUGAUUUGAUUUGAUUUAAAUACGUGUAUGUGACCAAUAACAUUUGAUUCAAUUUGAUUUGGAGAGGUUUGGGACACUUUGAAACGUCCUGUGACCACACCUGACACCACUUACGAAAAACAACUGUCCAUUUCUAGUUGUUAAUUCUAUCAAUCCCAUUCUUUCCUGAUAGUGUUCACAUGUUGUGGAAGCCAUCUGAUGUGUUUCCAGCUCUGGGCAUCAAUAAUUCACUGAUAGGUUGUCAAUUAAAGAUUACUUUCAAAAUAAAAAACGGUUACCUUGUGUGUGAACUGUGUAACUCAUAUCUACCUUCUCAUAAUCUCCCAGAUAUCUUCUUUUCAAAUAUACCAAGUUUUGGCAUGUCAGAAUCAUGCAAUUACACAUGAAUAGCAGUUACUUUUGGGUAUGUCUAUUUUGCCAAUUUUGCCUACGAGGUUAGGAAAAUAUGAACUUUUUACUCCCAUACAUUUUCCCUGACACCUGGAGGCUCAGGCAGGACAGUAAUAUGGUCCAAUUCACACGUAUCAAUAUAACUCGUUGUCAUUCCUACUGCCUCUGAUCUGGCAGUCACAAAUACUGCUUUUGUAAAUAAUGUCUGAGUGUUGGAAUGUGCCAUUGGCUGUCUGUAAUUUAAAAAAUAAUAACAUGGUGCCAUCUGGUUUGCUUAAUAUAAAGAAUUUAAUGUCGGGGAAAUACGGAAUAAGUGGGACACUUCUUGCAAUUCAGUCUUCUGUAACCUCCUUCGACAUUAUACAACAUAUUAGCCCAACACGUGAUACAUUUCUGAAAUCCUCGAGAUGUUUCCUAAUCACACACAAAGUAAAUGUUGAUAUCAUAUUCACAGGAGGCAUGUGUACACUGAGUCAAAAUCCUAUCUUCAGUUUGCAUUCGGUAGACUAGAUCAAGCAGGUUAGAUCAACUGGGACACCAUCUACAGUUCCUGGUUUGAAAUAAAAUUUGAUUUGAUUUGACCAUUCAAUUGUGUGUUAUU